UUUAUGCACCAGAAUCUGUAGUAGAUUGUUCAGCUCAUUCAAACUGAAUCAGUAACUGCUUAAAUUAGAACCAAAUGCAUUCUCUAUGGGAUGACUGAAACGACUGAUUGGUGCAGGAACUAGGAUUAAGUUACAGUCAAAAUCAGUAAUACUUUUGAGAGCCGAUGAUUUCUGCAUACUUUAAUUAAGGCCACUAUCACCGUUUAAACCAUAUAAAGUAAAUAGGACGCCAUUUGCUCUUGAAUUGUCAUGUUUUAAGCAUGUAUUGCUCUGAAAAAAGAAUACUUCAACCUUUCAGCACAAUAUAUUUUUAACUGAAUACUUUACGCCUUCAUUAUUUGUGUCCUCUAAGAUUGUGAAAUUCAGUUUGUUGCUGUUCAUUUAUGAAUAUUCCAGUUAUUUUGCCAGAUGAAAAGCAGCUUAAGGUUUUGAACCCAAGCAAGUUUGUUUUAAAUGUUCUGACGGUACACAUCAUUUGAGAUUUGGUGAUUGAAGAAAUGCAUCGUAACAUUUUGGCAUGGUUUGAAAAUAUCGCAAAUUCAUGCUUCGUCAGUUAAUUCUAAGUACCCAUGUUCUGUAGCCUCUCCUUUUCUCAUUUUUCACACAAUCCUUUUGAUCUGCAUACGUACUAUUUUUCUUUGUGUGCUACGGAAUGUGAUUAAACCAUGUUGUUCAUAUAAAGAAGCAUAGAAUUGACGUGGGUGCACAUGUCCAUAUUUCUCUUUGCUGAA